CAGGUAGGACUACCCGCUGAACUUAAGCAUAUCAAUAAGCGGAGGAAAAGAAACUAACAAGGAUUCCCCUAGUAACUGCGAGUGAAGCGGGAAAAGCUCAAAUUUAAAAUCUGGCAGCCUUUGGCUGUCCGAGUUGUAAUCUAGAGAAGUGUUAUCCGCGCUGAACCGUGACAGCCU
rnacentral:rRNA from 1 species